CCAAUUUAAAACAUUUUUCUUCAAUUCAACAUAUUGCCUUAAGAUAUGUAAGAAAUCCAAAGAAGACUGCUUCAGUGGGAGGCUGAUAUACACAUUUCAUUUAACAGACA